CGCGUAGGCGGCUGCGUAAGUCCGGCGUGAAAUCCCACGGCUCAACUGUGGAACUGCGUCGGAUACUGCGCUGGCUAGAGGACGGUAGAGGCCUGUAGAACUAGCGGUGUAGCGGUGAAAUGCGCAGAUAUCGCUAGGAAUGCCGGUGGCGAAGGCGGCGGGCUGGGCCGUUCCUGACGCUGAUGCACGAAAGCUAGGGGAGCGAACC
rnacentral:rRNA from 1 species